rnacentral:rRNA from 1 species
AACGAACGCUGGCGGCAUGCCUAAUACAUGCAAGUCGAACGAGACCUUCGGGUACAGUGGCGAACGGGUGCGUAACGCGUGGGAACCUGCCCUUAGGUUCGGAAUAACUUCCCGAAAGGGGCGCUAAUACCGGACAAUUUCUACGGACCAAUGAUUUAUCGCCUUUGGAUGUGCCCGCGUUAAAGUAGCUAGUUGGUAGGGUAAAAGCCCACCAAGGUGACGAUCCAUAGCUGGUCCGAGAGGGUGAUAGGCCAAACUGGGACUGAGACACGGCCAAGACGCCGACGGGAGGAAGCAGGAGGGAAGCUUCGGAAAUGGACGAAAGUCCGAACGAGCAACGACGCGUGAGGGAAGAAGGUUGUCGGAUCGGAAAACUAGGGUGGUAGAGAAGAACGUUGGUGAGAGUGGAAAGCUCAUAAAGGGACGGUAACUACCCAGAAAGGGACGGCUAACUACGUG